rnacentral:rRNA from 1 species
CAGUCGCCACGGUAAUACGAAGGGGGCUAGCGUUGUUCGGAUUUACUGGGCGUAAAGGGCGCGUAGGCGGACUGAUAAGUCAGGGGUGAAAUCCCAAGGCUCAACCUUGGAACUGCCUUUGAUACUGUUUGUCUUGAGUUCGAGAGAGGUAAGUGGAACUGCGAGUGUAGAGGUGAAAUUCGUAGAUAUUCGCAAGAACACCAGUGGCGAAGGCGGCUUACUGGCUCGAAACUGACGCUGAGGCGCGAAAGCGUGGGGAGCACACAGGAUUAGAUACCCCCGUAGUCCCUGUCUCUUAUAC